CCCUCGCCCCGUCGCUUACAUAAAGGACCGCGUCAGCUGAUGGCCGGGCCGGCUCGCCAUUGGUGGAAGCUCCAGGGCGGGAGCGAGGCGGUUACAAAACGCCGCGCCGCGCGCGCGUUCCGUAACAGGGUGGGAGGGGCGGGGCUGGCGCCGGGCGGACUGGGUGUGAGUCAAACGGGGGGCGGGCUCGCGUGGGGGCGCGUGCGGCCGUUAGGGAGCGAGCGUUGGGUAUAGCCCUGCUCUGUCUCGGAGGGGAGCGGGACGAGGGGGGAAAGAAGGGGGACGGCUGCUGGGAAAGGGGUCGGUCCCGCGGCUUCGGCUUGCGGCUCUUAUAGGUGCUGCCGCCCCUCGGAGCGUCUCUAACUCCGGUGAGGGACGGGCGUUAGCAGUGCUGCUGGGGGCGGUACGAGGGGGAGCAGCCGAUUUUCUCGAACGGUUUUUGUUCGCUGUGUAUCGUGCCUGUAGGAUGGCGGCUGAUGCGGUCGCUGGUCAGAUAAUGCCGUAACUGCCGGUUGGUGCAGAGCAUCUCCAGUUUUCUGGGAGCGUAAAAUAGCGAGCCCAGUGCUUUUGGGAAGUUCUUGAUCUCCGCCCAAAGCGUAACUGCAGCCCGUCUUGAUGGGGAAAUGUUUUGCGUUUCUACAUGUUCGUUCGUUCUGAAGAAAGCAUGGAGUCCAUGGCGUGACAUCCGGCUGUGUUUUCGGAGCUCGUUCCCUCUCAAACCAGUCCUCUGCGUUUACAGUGCCUUUCUGCUUCCUGAACUCAAAUAUAAAAGAUGCUAUGGGAGUUGAAAUAUCAAGGGAGAACGUGGAUGGCUUUUAAAUGUGGAGAGAUAGCAGUCUUAAAAUGAUUGUACUUUAAAAUAGUCAACAUGAGUUAGGAAGUGACAGCCUCAGGAAAGAUUGAAGUAAAAGUUGCCCUCAUUUCUCUUGGAAAUUCAGGACUUCAUGCAUCCAAAAAACAUUGUCGAGAUUUAGAUAGAAAAAGUUUUCUUCUUGUCCUGUGUGAUUGCAGAAAGACACUGAAGCGUUUCACUGAAGACCUCAAAAUGUUGUUAAAUACAUCAGCAGUAUGUUGCAGAAAUAACAGCACUGUAAACAAAAUGAAGCAAAACCAAUGCAGGCUGAGGGAGCAGGCAGUAGCAGGCAGUGGACCUGAAGCUUAAUGCCUGGAAAUCCAGAGCUGUGUCUGACAGUCUCUCUUGACGUACAUCCCAAGAAAAAAGUAGCUAAUCCAAGGAAAGUUGCUCUAUCUCAUCAGAAAUGUGGUAAUUGCUUUCCAGCUAUUUUCCCUCUAUUUCUUUAAAGGUAGUUACCUAUCCAGCUGUUGUAAAUUUUGCUAGGGUAUGUACAGCAAAAUGAAACUAGUUAGAGAUUCAAUUAGGUAAAAUAAUAUUCAUACUUUUUUAAUUUUUAAACAUUAUUGUUCCUAAGAGUGAAUUAUUCUGCUAAGAGAUUAUUAACACCUUUUCUUA